AGGGCGUGUUUCUGCUUUUGCCUGCUCUUCGCGGUUACGCUGGGAUUCAAAUCCUUCCAGCACAAGAUCCCAAAUGGAGACUCGGUGCCCCACCCCUGUAAACCCAACUACCUGUGGCACGGGGUGGGUCACGAGAACGAGUUAGGUGGAGGGUCCAGGAACCCAUUCGGACGGGAUUUUGACGCCGCGGGAAAGACAUGGACUGUGGAGCUGUGUCGGAAAGACUCGGACGGAGACGGCAGAACCAACGGUGAAGAACUGGGGGAUCCGAACUGUAUCUGGCGGGAAAACGCGAUUCCGGACAAAAAUGCAUUCUCACAUCCGGGUGUAUGCGAGCCUUACGACAGCGACCUCUGUCGGUCUAAGAAUACCUGGGUACAGUGUCAGAAAGAAGAAUUUAAAUGUGACGCCAUAGACAGCCCGGAUGUGAAAAACGUCACCAUUAGAUACCCAGUUACGUCAGUUCCAAGUCAGGAGACGACCUAUUUUUGCAUGACCUUUGAACUUCCCCAAGAUGGCGACUAUCAGAUGAUAGCCACAAAACCAGUCAUUGACAACGAAUACGUCAUGCACCAUAUUCUGCUGUACGGAUGUGGAGAGUCAGUGACAAAAGCCGAUACUGUUCCGUCUUCGUGCGGAAUGGGACUAAGUGACUGCCAGACUGUGAUAGGAGCGUGGGCCGUGGGGGCGAACGGAGAAUGUAGUCACAAGGACGUCGGCUUCAGGAUCGGCCAAAAUGGAUUCAAAUACGUCAUGAUGCAGUUUCACUGGAACAACUAUGAACGGCGAUCGGACUAUAAUGACAGUUCUGGAAUGACCUUGUACUACACUCCAAACAGACGACCAAACGACGCCGGAAUAAUGAUAAUUGGUCAGACAUUCUUAGAAAUCCCGCCCCGGAAGGAGCACGUUGAAACCACUUCCGUUUGCACCGCAGACGACACAAGGAUGAUUCUACAAGGACCAGUAUAUGUGACCCGGGCCUUUAACCACAUGCAUUAUCUAGGCCGAGAACAAUACAUUGACCUUUACAGAAAUGGGGCCAAGGUCGCAACACUUACCAAUGAACCCGAUUACAGUUACGACAGACCACGGUUUAUUGAGUACGCGGAAUCAAUCCAGAUAUUUCCCGGAGAUGAAAUACGAACCAGAUGUGUGUUUAAGUCCACAACCAAAUCUGUCACUACUUUUCAAGGCGACGCAACUUCCGACGAGAUGUGCUUCGGUUUUCUAACGGUUCAUCCGCUCAGUAACGCAAGGUCUCUCCAAUGUUCCUCCUGGAAAAAUGCGUCCAUGGUGAGUCUGUUCCAGAGCUCCGAUGACUGUGAUUGGAGAGUCUUCGGAAACGCAAGCCACCCGGAUAUGGCCCCUUUAUACCAAGGCGUCUACAUGCAUUGUCGGCCAUUAGGUCAGUGUCUUGAAGAGUGCAAAGAGGCCGUCAAGCGGUUCAGAAGUCACCCAUGCAUGACGGGCACCAGGGGAGAGUAUAUCAUGUGGAACGCUGGCAAUGUAAGGACUUUCGAGGCAUUGAGCUUCUACUCAAAAGUUAGGUCAUGUGACCUCGAGAUUUUGCGAGAACAACUAUUGACGCAGACGACAAACGGAGAUGACACAAACGUAGGAGCGAGGGUUCUACCGAAACUAUCGGCUCUUCUGGUUGCUGCUUUUCUGGCCUUGUUUUUAUAAAAAAAAAUAUCAUAGAUCACUGUCUUGUUAGAAUUAGGAUGGGAAGAUUUACUAGUGUGUUGAUAUAUAAAUGUAUCAAUGCAAUAUUAUAACAUUGUGUUUUUUUUUCGGGCCUAAACGUUCGUUGCAAAACUGUUGUUUGGUUAUUUUUCUUUAAUAUUAAAAAAAUGAAAAUGU
rnacentral:misc_RNA from 1 species